rnacentral:rRNA from 1 species
GAUCCAGCCAUGCGCGUGAGUGAAGAAGGCCUUCGGGUUGUAAAGCUCUUUCGGCCGGAAGAAAUCGCAUGGGUCAAUACCCUGUGUGGAUGACGGUACCGGAAUAAGAAGCACCGGCUAACUACGUGCCAGCAGCCGCGGUAAUACGUAGGGUGCGAGCGUUAAUCGGAAUUACUGGGCGUAAAGCGUGCGCAGGCGGUUUGGUAAGUCAGAUGUGAAAUCCCCGGGCUCAACCUGGGAACUGCAUUUGAGACUGCCAAGCUGGAGUUUGGCAGAGGGGGGUGGAAUUCCACGUGUAGCAGUGAAAUGCGUAGAGAUGUGGAGGAACACCGAUGGCGAAGGCAGCCCCCUGGGCCAAUACUGACGCUCAUGCACGAAAGCGUGGGGAGCAAACAGGAUUAGAUACCCUGGUAGUCCACGCCCUAAACGAUGUCAACUAGGUGUUGGGAGGGUUAAACCUUUUAGUGCCGUAGCUAACGCGUGAAGUUGACCGCCUGGGGAGUACGGCCGCAAGGCUAAAACUCAAAGGAAUUGACGGG